rnacentral:tRNA from 1 species
GGGAGAUUAGUUAAGUGGUAUAACUGACGGCUCCAAACCGUCCGUCGGGGGUUCGAUUCCCUCAUCUCCCGCCA